UUUCUUCUGACAGCAAACAGGAAGUCCUGAGCCCUCGAGCGCCGCUUAGAGGGGAGGCGGCGGGAUUGCACGCAUGAGCUUUUCUCGCCAGCAGGGGGCAGACUCACUCUAAAAAUCCUUUUGUUUGCCAUAUGUUCAAUCCGCCACGCGUGCUACUUGGGUCUUCAAAUCAUGAGCUCUCCACAUUUUGAACAGGAAUGAGGGAUUCCUGGGAGGCGAGGAGAACCCCUACCUAGCCGCCUCUCAGUGGACUCACGUGAGGUGUAAUCAAAGCUUUCCGGCUCCGCCAAACUCAAUCUCGUCGGAUUUAUGUGGUUCAAGCAUCUGCGAGUGCGACAAGGUUUGUCUGCCUGUGCCCAUCAACUAAAAAGCGAGUAAUCACAAAUAUGUAAGUUCUUAAGAGUGUUUGUUGCAAUGGCCAUUACGUGUCGUCCCCCAAUGUGUUACGAUUACGUCAUGAAAAUUAGUACGACAAUCGUCAAGUAAGCCGGAAGUGGUGCUCGUUGUCUUUCAGAAUAAAAGCAUAAUACAGGAAGUGCUAAACUGACCGGAUAAAUUGACAUUUUUUUUUAUUUCGCUUUGUUAGCUGUGUUUGUUGGUUUUAGUUUGUUAGUUUUAUAAACAUAAAAAGUCGAUUCAGCUAGUUUUUAUUUGUAUUUCAGUACCACUGUGCCCAAUUUGAGUCCAGCAUUCAAAUUGCAUCAGUGCUGACUAUUAAACAGAGCAUUCGACAGAAAACCAGUGUUUGCAAAAGUGUCAUGAAAAGAAAAUGGCUGAAAGGGAGCAGAAAGAGUCGCUGGAGGAGCACUUUGAUUGUUGACACCCGGCAAUCCAAACAGCGUCCCUGCGACGGGGGAGACGUUGUCGUCGUUUUCUCGAGACCAUCAGCGUUUUCCAGACGACGCUCGUUAUAGAGCCGACAUCAAAACGAACGAGAGGAGCGCUGCUGCUAUGUGCUGACAUUCAAACACACAUGUUUUAUUUAACAUGCGAAACUGACAAAUCUCCAGGCACUCGAAGAGACAAAGACUACCACCAGGUGUCACAUGUCUACGAAGUGCAUCCGACAAAAUACUCUUAGGAUAAAAACAAACAAACAUUUUUUCUUGUCUAGCUGAAAUGAGCCUGUCUAAAGUGCAUAUGAGCUCCUCUUCACAAAGAAAAGAAGCAAACAUGGUGUCGCAGCAUUUAGCUGUUACGCUGCACACAAGUAGGAUGUACGAUGGAUGGCGGUCUUCGAGUGGCCAUCCACGGCAGCCGACUUUACACCAUCAGCAAGUUGAGUUGUGAAUGCAAUUUGCGCGUACAGAUCUUCUACAUGCGAUCCUUACGAUUGACGGCUGUGUUCGCUCCCACAACGGCGCAAACACCCUCUUCUAUCUGCUCUUGAUUCAAUGACCUUCACAAUCCAAAGUCUGGCUCACGCAAACACUUGGAUCAAAUAAAUUUUAUAAUUUUGAGCGCGCGAGCUUCAGGCCUACAUCGUAGUCCGAGGCACAUCCGUAAAAAAAAAAAAAAAAGCUUACGUUUUCUAUCAAAUUAAAAGCGAAGGCAGCCUUUGAUCUUUUAAUCCGCCCGCUCAUAAGGUUGCGAGAUAAGCAGCCGUGACUAACGUCUCUCUUUCUAAUAGUCUUGAAAGAGCCGAGCCCACAUAAUGAGCCCUUUUAGCCCCUUUUGAAGACAUAUUGGACUCAAAGUCCGUAUUUAGCGGAUCUGGCAUUCAAUGGACGCCUUUGGAUAGUCCACCGGGAGCGUUGGUGUCGCUAUAAAGCUCCAGGUGGGGGGGAUCCUGGAGCUCCUUUCUGUCUUUAUUUAUUGAAUGUUGCAAUGACACACCCUUUCAAUCAUUCAAAUGAAGAGCUCCAAGAAACUAGAGCAAGAUAGCAAAUUGGAGACUGCAGAGUUUAAAACUGCAACAUGGAGAGUAAAUAGCGUGUUAGCAUGUGUUUACAGCCAUGCAUACUGAAUACUAGCUUCUUCUGAUUUUCUUUGACCACGAUGGGCCAAUUUCUACGGGAUCUGGACAUGAAAGAGGUGGCUUCUGAUGUCUUGAAAACGCCACAGCACUGAGCAAAGCCUCCUGACGCCGCCUCGGUGGGUGACGGGGCCGCCUGCUGUUAACUUGUAACGUAACUGAUGCUUUUUCCUUGUUAAAGAUGCUCCCUGCUUGGUGAGCUGGCUAAUAUGUCUUCUCCCACUGUGUGGAAUAUUUAAAAGGAUUUCAAAAGGAGGAAAGUGAAGAUAGAAACUGUUUGGAUCGGGAAAAUA